rnacentral:rRNA from 1 species
AUUGAACGCUGGCGGCAUGCCUAACACAUGCAAGUCGAGCGAGCGGCGGACGGGUGAGUAAUGUAUGGGGACUGCCCGAUAGAGGGGGCUAACUACUGGAAACGGUGGCUAAUACCGCAUACUAUCGGAUAACCCAUAUGGGAUUAGCUAGUAGGUGGGGUAAAGGCUCACCUAGGCGACGAUCCCUAGCUGGUCUGCGAGGAGGACCAGCCACACUGGGACGGAGACACGGCCCAGACUCCUACGGAGGCAGCAGUGGGGAAUUGUGGACAAUGGGGGAAAGCCUGAUGCAGCCAUGCCGCGUGUAUGAAGAAGGCCUUAGGGUUGUAAAGUACUUUCAGCGGGGAAGCGGUACCCGCAGAAGAAGCACCGGCUAACUCCGUGCCAGCAGCCGCGGUAAUUC